GAUGAACGCUGGCGGCGUGCCUAAUACAUGCAAGUCGAGCGAACAGACGAGGAGCUUGCUCCUCUGACGUUAGCGGCGGACGGGUGAGUAACACGUGGAUAACCUACCUAUAAGACUGGGAUAACUUCGGGAAAUCGGAGCUAAUACCGGAUAAUAUAUUGAACCGCAUGGUUCAAUAGUGAAAGACGGUUUUGCUGUCACUUAUAGAUGGAUCCGCGCCGCAUUAGGUAGUUGGUAAGGUAACGGCUUACCAAGGCAACGAUGCGUAGCCGACCUGAGAGGGUGGUCGCCCACACUGGAACAGAGAAAGGUCCGAGACUCCGACGGGGGGCAGCAGUAGGGAAUCUUCCGCGAUGGGCGAAAGCCUGACGGAGCAACGCCGCGUGAGGGAUGAAGGUCUUCGGAUCGGAAAGCUCUGUUAUUAGGGAAGAACAAAUGUGUAAGUAACUAUGCACGUCUUGACAGUACCUAAUCAGAAAGCCACGGCUAACUACGUG
rnacentral:rRNA from 1 species